UGUAUGUAUACUUAUGUAUACAUAUGUAUGUAUACUUAUGUAUACUUAUGUAUACAUACACACACGCACACACACACAUAUACACACAUACACAC
rnacentral:miRNA from 1 species